UACAGAGGGUGCAAGCGUUAAUCGGAAUUACUGGGCGUAAAGCGUGCGCAGGCGGUUUUGUAAGACAGGCGUGAAAUCCCCGGGCUCAACCUGGGAAUUGCGCUUGUGACUGCAAGGCUGGAGUGCGGCAGAGGGGGAUGGAAUUCCGCGUGUAGCAGUGAAAUGCGUAGAUAUGCGGAGGAACACCGAUGGCGAAGGCAAUCCCCUGGGCCUGUACUGACGCUCAUGCACGAAAGCGUGGGGAGCAAACAGG
rnacentral:rRNA from 1 species